GACGAACGUCGGCGGCGUGUCACAUACAUGCAAGUAGAACGCAGUUGCGAACGGGUGAGUAACGCGUAGGCAACUGCCUGGUAGCGGGGGAUAACUAUUGGAAACGAUAGCUAAUACCGCAUACUACCAGAUGGACCUGCGUUGUAUUAGCUGGUUGGUGGGGUAACGGCUCACCAAGGCAACGAUACAUAGCCGAACUGAGAGGGUGAUCGGCCACACUGGGACGGAGACACGUCCCAGACUUCUACGGGAGGCAGCAGUAGGGAAUCUUCGGCAAUGGACGGAAGUCUGACCGGGCAACGCCGCGUGAGUGAAGAAGGUUUUCGGAUCGUAAAGCUCUGUUGUAAGGGAAGCGGUAUCUUACCAGAAAGGGACGGCUAACUACGUGCCAGCAGCCGCGGUAAUAC
rnacentral:rRNA from 1 species